rnacentral:rRNA from 1 species
UGCCUAGGAAUCUGCCUGGUAGUGGGGGAUAACGUUCGGAAACGGACGCUAAUACCGCAUACGUCCUACGGGAGAAAGCAGGGGACCUUCGGGCCUUGCGCUAUCAGAUGAGCCUAGGUCGGAUUAGCUAGUUGGUGGGGUAAUGGCUCACCAAGGCGACGAUCCGUAACUGGUCUGAGAGGAUGAUCAGUCACACUGGAACUGAGACACGGUCCAGACUCCUACGGGAGGCAGCAGUGGGGAAUAUUGGACAAUGGGCGAAAGCCUGAUCCAGCCAUGCCGCGUGUGUGAAGAAGGUCUUCGGAUUGUAAAGCACUUUAAGUUGGGAGGAAGGGUUGUAGAUUAAUACUCUGCAAUUUUGACGUUACCGACAGAAUAAGCACCGGCUAACUCUGUGCCAGCAGCCGCGGUAAUACAGAGGGUGCAAGCGUUAAUCGGAAUUACUGGGCGUAAAAGCGCGCGUAGGUGGUUUGUUAAGUUUGGAUGUGAAAUCCCCCUGGUGCUCAAUCUGGGAACUUG